GGGGGAGCCUGUGGGGAGGGGCAGCAAAGAGGGAAGCAGCCAGAAGACACAGGGUGAGCGGCAGCAGCUGCAGAAGGAAGAAGCACAUACAUCGAGUCACUGCUGAGGUGGGACCGGGGCCAGAGCCCCACCCCGAGCCAGACUCCCUCCUCUGGUCUAGACUCCUCAACAGAGCAACAGGGCUGAACACCACGCUGCCACCCUUCCCUUCCCCAGAUCCUCGUGCCCCACCACUCCCAGGUCUAGCCUGCACCCACUCUGCUGCCUCCCCAGUCCACUCUCCCUGGCUUCAGCUCCAGGUGUGGUGGACGGCUGUGCAGCACCUUCCUCUAAAAGGUACUCGUCCACGUCACCUCCCUUCUCUAAAACCAUCCUUCAAUAUUUAUUACGUGCCUCCCAUGUGCCGUUCUUACCUUUCCCUGCGAGAGGUUUUAACAACCUCUGUAAUAGAUGAGGAACCCGAAGCUCAGAAAAAGUUUCAGAACUCCAAGUCUACUGUUCUUCCCACCGCACAGUCCUGACUGCACCAGCCUCAGUCACCGCCCCUCACUGCCCCAGCUCUCAGGGGAGCUAGGCCUGCAGAGCUUAGAGACCCUGCCUCAUGCACCCCCGAGGUCCAUCUCUGAGGAGGGAGGCUGCUCAUUAAGGAGGAUGGAUGGAUGACCGAUUCAAACAACUGUCUUGAAAGCCGACCCCAGGGCCCAGCACCCAAGCACUGUUGUCAAGGAGGCUUGGAAUGCCCAGAGCCCACUUCUUUGGUGCUCCUCCAGGCGGGGGCCCAGAGGCAGCAGCACCAGACCCUACACACUCAGAUGGCUCCAACCAUAGGGACAAUUCCAAACCAACGAGAAGACGCCAGGAGAUGAAAGAGUCAUGGAGCACGGGGGAACCGAGCCAAGAGGUGCAGACACAGCAGAGAGACCAAUCUCCAAGCAGAGGCCACCUCAGCUCACACCGGCCGACCCAACCCUCUGCACCACAGGCAGACCCAGCCCCCUUCAGGCCCGCUGACCCUGCGGCUCCUGAGCUGGUGACUCAAUUUCUCUUCUGCCAAGUAGGACUCAGGCACCUUUUCCCAGUGCACCUGCCUCUCGGCUCAGUUCUGAUAUUUCCCGAAGGGCGGGUGGUGGAGCGUGCAGGCUCCGCUCCUGGCUCGGACCCUCCGGACCCGGUAGUCAACCCACUCCGACCCGACCCUCCUCCCUGGACACCCUCUACCCGCCCAUUCCCCGGGGCCGCAGCCUCCAGGGAAGCAGCCCGCUCUGCUGCACUCUCCGGGGCCGGGCGCCCCUCCUGCCUCUAGCCCCCCACGCCCGCCCCCACCCAAGGCUCCUCGCAGGCGCCGGGUCGCGGAGAGGGAAGAGGGACUUGAAGAGGGGGGUUCCGGUUCCGGUCCCACCUGCAUCUCGGUCCCCGCGGUUAGCUCCGGCGGCGGCGGCAGCUCCCGCUCCCUGCCCCACCCCCCGCCUCCGCGACUAGCUCCCAGCCCGGUUCUGCGCAGGCGCCGGGACCCCCUUUUUCCCGUCACCGAAGGAAGUGACCAUAGAGAAGACCGAGGAGAAGGAAGGGCACGUUCACACUCACUUCCGCCAUCCUCCCAUUCCGUGCCACCCUUCCAGAGUUGAGAAGGUGGGAGUCUCGGAGUGCUUAGUGACUUCUCCAGUUGCGCCUAAAAGGGACCGCAGAAGCAGCCAUAGGACGGGGUUGGGUCCCACCAGAGCGUCCUCCCAGAGGAAAGUCGGGACAGUAGGGAGCAGUCAACCAUAGAGAAGGCACCUUAGGGGACUAGAAUCCCGAGACCCUGAUGAAGGCUAGAGGAGCCACCGGUACCGGAAACCAGCGAGUUGAGAAGGCUUUUUGAAGGGCCUGCUGUAGCCUAGAGCGCCCAGCCGGGCUGCAGACGGGUUCGAGGACACCGCCCCCAAAGAGCUGGGGGAGGGAAGAUGCGGGUGACCUUGAUGAGGCCCUGCGAGGAGGCGGAGCCUGAACUUACGACCUUGGCUUCUCUGAGGAAAGUACUGGAGGUUCUAGGAGGUUCCAGCUCUGAACUGGGAAAUAAAGGUUGUGGGGGCAGGAAUAAUGAGGUCAGUUUGGGGCAUGUCUGUGGGACGUCAGGAGGCAGGUGGACAUACAGUCUGGAGCUGAGGAGAGACAUCAAGGCCAGAUACAGAAAUUGAGACUCAUUAAGGUGUAGUAGAGGGCAGUCGAAAUCAUGAGCACGAUGAGAUCCUAAUCGAUCAGGUCUCUCAUUGACCCAGCUCCAACUGGCCUAAGCAAUAAGGGAGUCUUUUGGCUCAAGCCAUUGAAAAGAAUGGAUCAAGCUUCUUCAGGAACAGCUAAAUAAAAGGGCCAAAAGAUAUUGGGAACCUGUGCUUCACCUCUAGGCUGAGCUCUCCCCAUGCCUCUCUUAGUGGCAAAAUGGAUUUCCAUAGCUCCAAACUUAAGUCCCAGUAGCUUAGCAACUCUCGUAGGAGCAUGUCUUUUUCUCUGAGAUUUGCAGUAAAAUUUCCAGAACUGACUUUAGCUGAUUGGCUUGGAUCAUGUGCUUAUCCUGAAACCCAAAGGCCUCGUGACCCACGAGAUUGGAGAUGGAUAAAUGCCCUGACUCACACAAGGAUGUUUGAGGCUGAGGCUACUGGAUGGAGUUGGAAAAAAUCAUUGUGGAAGGGCAAGUUCUGGCCUAACCAGCCUUUGUCCCCAUCUCUACCCCAGAUCUAACCAAAUUAACAUCAGCUCCCAGAUGGCCUUUGUUAAGGUCUUCAUCACCGUCUUUGUCAAUUCCAUCUUCCAGUUCAGAAAAAGAUGUCAAUGGAAAGGCCUCUAGUUCCGUGAUCACCCCCCACUCCUCCCUGAUACUCUUACAUACCCUUUCUCUGUAGUUGGCCCAUCCUUGUCCAGGAGAGAGAAAAGGUGAGGAAUACAGAAAGGUAAGGGGCUGGUGAUGAUGGGUUUGGUUUGGAAAUGUGUCUAAGCUGUCCAAUAAAACUUUCUGCAAUGACUGAAA